AUUGAACGCUGGCGGCAGGCCUAACACAUGCAAGUCGAGCGCGAGGCGGACGGGUGAGAAGUGUAUGGAGCUCUGCCCGAUAGGGGGGGAUCAACACUGGACACGGUGGAUAAUAACGCAUAAUAUCGGAUGCACCCAUAUGGGAUUAGGUAGUAGGUGGGGUAAAGGCUCACAUACGCGACGAUCUUUCGGUGGUCUGAGAGGAUGAGAAGCCAAACGGGGACUGAGACACGGUCCAGACUCCGACGGGAGGCAGCAGUGGGGAAUAUUGCACAAUGGACGCAAGUCUGAUUCAGCAAUGCCGCGUGUAUGAAGAAGGCCUUAGGGUUGUAAAGUUCUGUUUUCUUGGAAGCGGUACCUGAAGAGAAAGCACCGGCUAACUCCGUGCCAGCAGCCGCGGUAAUUC
rnacentral:rRNA from 1 species